AAAUGCGAUAAGUAAUGUGAAUUGCAGAAUUCAGUGAAUCAUCGAAUCUUUGAACGCACCUUGCGCUCCCUGGUAUUCCUUGGAGCAUGCCUGUUUGAGUAUCAUGAAAUCUUCAAAGUAAAUCUUUUGUUAACUCAAUUGGUUUCUACUUUGGUAUUGGAGGUCUUUGCAGCUUCACACCUGCUCCUCUUUGUUCAUUAGCUGGAUCUCAGUGUUAUGCUUGGUUCCACUCGGCGUGAUAAGUUAUCUAUCGCUGAGGACACUGUAAAAGGUGGCCAAGGUAAAUGCAGAUGAACCGCUUCUAAUAGUCCAUUGACUUGGACAAUACUUUUAUGAUCUGAUCUCAAAUCAGGUAGGACUACCCGCUGAACUUAAGC
rnacentral:misc_RNA from 1 species